GACGAACGCUGGCGGCGUGCUUAACACAUGCAAGUCGAACGGAGAUAUAUAAAUAGUUUACUAUGAAUAUAUUUUAGUGGCGGACGGGUGAGUAACACGUGGGCAACCUGCCUUAGAGUGGGGGAUAACAACGAGAAAUCGUUGCUAAUACCGCAUGAAAUUAGAUUAUCGCAUGAUAGUUUAAUGAAAGGAGAAAUCCGCUAAAAGAUGGGCCCGCGCCUGAUUAGCUAGUUGGUGAGGUAAAAGCUCACCAAGGCGACGAUCAGUAGCCGAUCUGAGAGGAUGACCGGCCACACUGGAACUGAGACACGGUCCAGACUCCUACGGGAGGCAGCAGUGGGAAUAUUGCACAAUGGGGAAACCCUGAUGCAGCAACGCCGCGUGGAGGAAGAAGGUUUCGGAUUGUAAACUCCUGUCUUUGGGACGAUAAUGACGGUACCAAAAGAGGAAGCCACGGCUAAACUACGUG
rnacentral:rRNA from 1 species